AUGGAUAUGCUGAAAUUGGUAACCAGGCCAUGCUAACAUGGUAGCGGAAGCUUUAUAAGUUCAAGUCUUAUUAUCCAUA
rnacentral:tRNA from 1 species